ACAAGGGUCCCUCCUACCUGUCACUGGAAGAAAUGUCAAGAUAACACUAUAAGAAAAGUCUGGGUUGGAGAGCAACAAUGGACUUCCGAGUCGUAUGCAACAUGAAAGUAUUUAUAAAGUGUCUCGCUUUAGCAAAAAAUAGGUGUUCUGAACCUAAUCUACCAGUGACCCAGUAAUUGCUGUGUCUACUGGGAAGAGAACACAGGAACAAAUCAGUCAAAAUAUGUGAAACAUUCUUCAGAAAAUGGGUUGGUUUCUCCAAAAAGUCAAUGUUAUGGGGUAAAAUAGCUUAGUGAUGCUCAUGCUCUUCAAAUACAAUUGAAAACAGCAGAAUAGAUAACCUUGACUGGACAAAAGGGAAGGUGGAACUGAGAAAAUAUGAAUGUAAUAUUAAGUAACAUUACAGAAUUAUGAGUUCUCUCAGAUGUGCUAUUGCUAUUGAGCUUGUGCUGGCGAAUGCUGUCCUUCAUUUUAAAAGGUCUAUGCCGAGACAUGAAUUAUCAUGAUUUCUUAACUUUGAAAUUAUUACGCACGCGUGCGCGAGCACACACACACCCAACUCAAACAUAGACCUCCUUAAAGCAAAUGUGGUUAAAUGAGAUUGGAGGGUUUGGAGGCGAGGAUGUUGCUGCUUGCCUGAGGAAUGAUUGGCAUUGCUUCCAUACUUAGCACCAGGGUGUGAGUCAUCUGAACAAGUACAUGCUGCUGCUGUCCUCCCUGCAUGCAACUGAACCCCAGCCUUUUCUAAAAGCCAAGGCUCCCAGUGUACAUAUUCCUUGGAAGUUGCCAGAACUGUAGUAUUUUGUUCGAUACUUAAUCCAAAGUUGUCUAUAUAAUUGUCAGUGCAUUCUGAAAGGCUUGAGACAGCAAUGUGGUUUCACAAAAAGUAUCCAUGUGUGGAAAAGUCUAGAAGACUACAAAAAAUGUGCUAAAACUGAAAAUAUACUAAGAUAAUGAGGAUGGCGCAAUAAAAAGCCAAGUAUUGUGUGGGCACAGCACUACUGGAAUCAUCUGUCCUAGCUGUACAAACAUGCACAAGCGCCUCCAUUCCUCCAGGAGAAAAACACUCGUUCCUUCAGAUUCCUGCUAUAGGUUUCAGUGCAACACAAAGAGUAACCUUUGACUUUUUAUCUCUGUUAAUCCUGAGAGUUUUCCACAAGGUGUAGACACUUCCUAUGGUAAGUCAGUUUUCAAUUUGCAAAAUGAAAUAGUCAUAGUUACAUAGUUACAUGUGAUCACUAAAUCAAGGUUUGCUAUGCUAAAGGAAAGCUGGUAACCUUGCUUAGACCUCUACUUGAAUAUACUGUACCAAGUGAUAGAAGAAUGUAUAUACAGUUUUGAAAGAAAAACCUCCACUGCUUUUCAUACAUUGCCAACGUUUAAUUGUGCAAGUGGACAGAUGAAGUCUCAGCUCUCCCUCACUGUGCCAGGAGCAGAGUAAAGGAAUCUUUUGCUGAGCUUUGUGUCAUGGUUCAUAUAUUUAAUCCCAACACUUGGGAGGCAGAGGCCAGUUUGGUCUAUCUAGUGAGUAGCCAGGGCUACCUUUACUGGGCAUGCUCAUAUGGGUAAGAAUGCUUGUAUGCAAAUAUUGAGAUCUCAGUUUGAAUCCCCAAGGACCCAUUUAAGUAUGCCAAGUAUGACUUCAUAUGCCUGAAACCUCAACGUGAAGGGGCAAAGCAAACUGGAUCCUGAGAGCUUGCCAAUCAACCAACCCAGGCAAAAUCUAUAGCUUCCCAAUAAAGAGAUACCUUGCGUCAAAGGCAGGUAGUGAUAGGGGAAACACUCACCAUCUUCCUCUGGCUUGUACCUGUGUGCCUGUGACAAUGCACACUGCAUGCACAUGCAUGUACUACACACACAAAGACAAAACUCAUGACAAAAUUUCAUGUCUCAAUCCUUCCCCAGACUCCUGCCCCUGCCAGUACCUCUGAGACAGCCUGUAAGUGCAGGAAUACAGCAGCUAGGGCGGGAGAGGGAUGACUCCAACCCGCAGAUAAUCAAUAUUGUUUUGAGAUGAGACCUAUGUCCCCAUUGCUGUCUGCAAAGUUCCUUCUGUCUACUGCUCUUGAAGCCACUUAGCUUAAUCUUUUCAGUGACAGCUGAGGCUAAGAUGGGAAAUUUGUAUUUUAUAGACAGUUAUGCUUUGUUUAUAUGAGGCAAGUGAACAUAACAGCCUUCAGAUGGCGAAAGGAAAACACACAGAAAACCCCCACAUGUUGUGACAGUAUAUCAAGAAAAUGUCAAGAGGAAAGUCUUGGGCCAAAAUUUAAUGGCAUUUAUCUCGGAGUAAUAAAAUGACUUGUUUUUUCUUUUCUAUAAUUUAUGUAGUUUAUUUUGGUGAAAACAGUAUGUAGUGGAAUUUGCCAUUGCAAUCACUUUUACAUAUGUAAUUCAGUGUCCUUAAGUACAUUCAGUAUUGUUCAGCCAUCAGCAUGCAUCAUAUUUAGGACUUUCUCUUCAUCCCAUGUGUAGUAACUCUCCAUUCUGCUACUGCUCUCAGCCCCUGGUAACCUUUAUUCCACUGUUUCUUAAGAGUUUGUCUGCAUCAUGCUAAACGAAAUAAAUCAGACCACUUGUAUAUUUGG
rnacentral:lncRNA from 1 species